AGAGUAAGAAUGCGUGCGUUAAGUGUUGCUUGGACGGGGAGUUGCCAGGCAAACGAAAAGUCUUUGACUUGCGGUUCGUGUUCUGCAUCCCGCU
rnacentral:ncRNA from 1 species